rnacentral:rRNA from 1 species
AGAGUUUGAUCCUGGCUCAGGACGAACGCUGGCGGCGUGCCUAAUACAUGCAAGUCGAGCGAGCGGAACCAACAGAUUUACUUCGGUAAUGACGUUGGGAAAGCGAGCGGCGGAUGGGUGAGUAACACGUGGGGAACCUGCCCCUAAGUCUGGGAUACCAUUUGGAAACAGGUGCUAAUACCGGAUAAUAAAGCAGAUCGCAUGAUCAGCUUUUGAAAGGCGGCGUAAGCUGUCGCUAAGGGAUGGCCCCGCGGUGCAUUAGCUAGUUGGUAAGGUAACGGCUUACCAAGGCGACGAUGCAUAGCCGAGUUGAGAGACUGAUCGGCCACAUUGGGACUGAGACACGGCCCAACCUCCUACGGGAGGCAGCAGUAGGGAAUCUUCCACAAUGGACGCAAGUCUGAUGGAGCAACGCCGCGUGAGUGAAGAAGGUUUUCGGAUCGUAAAGCUCUGUUGUUGGUGAAGAAGGAUAGAGGUAGUAACUGGCCUUUAUUUGACGGUAAUCAACCAGAAAGUCACGGCUAACUACGUGCCAGCAGCCGCGGUAAUACGUAGGUGGCAAGCGUUGUCCGGAUUUAUUGGGCGUAAAGCGAGCGCAGGGCGGGAAAAUAAGUCUAAUGUGAAAGCCCUCGGCUUAACCGAGGAACUGCAUCGGGAAACUGUUUUUUCUUGGAUGCAAAAAAAGAAAAGUGGAACUUCCAUGGUGUAGCGGGUGGAAAUGCGUAAAAAAUAAGGAAAAAACACCAAUGGGGGAAAGGGCGGUCUCUUCUG